UACGUAGGGUGCAAGCGUUAAUCGGAAUUACUGGGCGUAAAGCGUGCGCAGGCGGUUAUUUAAGACCGUUGUGAAAUCCCCGGGCUCAACCUGGGAACUGCAUCUGUGACUGCAUAGCUAGAGUACGGUAGAGGGGGAUGGAAUUCCGCGUGUAGCAGUGAAAUGCGUAGAUAUGCGGAGGAACACCGAUGGCGAAGGCAAUCCCCUGGACCUGUACUGACGCUCAUGCACGAAAGCGUGGGGAGCAAACAGG
rnacentral:rRNA from 1 species